AUUGAAAAACCAAAGGACCAAAUAAAUAAAAAUAAAUUGAUACCAAAUUAAAGUAAGAGACUGAAAAUUUUCAAUUUCGAUUUUUUUUAAUUGCACAUGAGAAUUUCUUAUGGACAAUCAGACUAAAUUAGAACACUAAAGUCAUAAAAUUUAUGUGUAUAGAGACAUAGAGGAAACAAAGCGCAAGGAAUUAAUGCAAAUUAGGAAAUGUAAACAUGGGAAUCCUUGAAAUUUAAUUUGCUCAAAAUCCAACUCAAAAAUCA
rnacentral:misc_RNA from 1 species